rnacentral:rRNA from 1 species
UUGGAGGGCAAGUCUGGUGCCAGCAGCCGCGGUAAUUCCAGCUCCAAUAGCGUAUAUUAAAGUUGUUGCAGUUAAAAAGCUCGUAGUUGAAUUUCGGGGUCAGCAGGUUGGUCGUGCCUCUGGUACGCACUGGUUUCGCUGAUUCCUCCUUUCUGAAGAACUGUAAUGUCAUUAAUUUGGUGUUGCAGGGAAACAGGACUGUUACUUUGAAAAAAUUAGAGUGUUUAAAGCAGGCUAACGCUUGAAUACAUUAGCAUGGAAUAAUGAAAUAGGACGUUUGAUCCUAUUUUGUUGGUUUCUAGGAUUGACGUAGUGAUUAAUAGGGAUAGUUGGGGGCAUUAGUAUUCAAUUGUCAGAGGUGAAAUUCUUGGAUUUAUUGAAGACUAACUACUGCGAAAGCAUUUGCCAAGGAUGUUUUCAUUAAUCAAGAACGAAAGUUAGGGGAUCGAAGACGAUCAGAUACCGUCGUAGUCUUAACCAUAAACUAUGCCGACUAGGGAUCGGGUGAUGUUAAUCUUUUAAUGACUCAUUCGGCGCCUUACGGGAAAC